AAAUAAAGUGCCUGAUGAAAAGGUCUAUUUUGAUAGAAUAGCUAAUGUGAAAUUCACCUUUAUU
rnacentral:tRNA from 1 species